rnacentral:rRNA from 1 species
UACAUGGGGUGCAAACGUUGCUCGGAAUUAUUGGGCGAAAGCGCACGUAGGCGGUCCGUUAAGUCGGAUGUGAAAGCCCCCGGCUCAAACCGGGGAAGUGCAUCCGAAACUGGCAGGCUGAGAGUACGGAAAAGAGGGUCGCGGGAAUUCCCGGUGUAGAGGGUGAAAUUCGAUUCAGAUAUCGGGAGGAACACCGGUGGCGAAGGCGGCGAGCCUG